AAUAACGGUCUCUCUCCUUCACUUCAUCCCUCUCUCCCCUUCUCCCUAAAUCCUCUGGGUUAUAUCAGCUGUGUCGGUGAACCCCUCCUGCAUCUGAACUGGCUACAUAGAGGACACAGCAUGAUCAGAGGUAUGUUUUGAUGUGAGAGGAUGCCAACCCCCAGUCCCAUCAUCGCCACCUCACCUGCUUUUAAGAUAACAGUGUCUCUAAUCGGCCCAAUGGUUAUGUAAUUGUGAUGAACUGAGAGAACAUUUAUGUAGCACUGUGAUUCAUUAAUCAUGUGCUGCCUUCCCUGCUCCUAUGUGUUUACCUCUUUCCCUUUCUGUCUUUAACACCUCUCUCUCCUCCUCCUCUUUCCCUUUCUGUCUUUAACACCUCUCUCUCCACCUCCUCUUCCUCUGUUUUUAUAAUACACAACAGAUGUGCAUUGAUGGACAGAUUGAACUUGUAUUUAUAACACUUGGAUAAUGAGCUUUUCAAUAAAGCGUUUCACAUUCUCUA